rnacentral:lncRNA from 1 species
CUGAGCCCCGGGGUCCGUUGGCUGCCAGUGGCCCACUCUGAUCUGCGGUCCCCAGUUGCCGCCAGCCCCCCACGGCCCGCACGGAAAUCUUUCUACCGUUUUUCAGCUUCCAGGCUCUCCUGAAAGUGCUCACAAGGCAAAUCGCCAUGGAAAGCAAGUUCAAGUGGCCUUUUAAAGUAGACCAACUAAGCGAAUGGCUUUAUCUCCGAAGACACAGGGACCUUGGGCAGCCAGUCAGGGACACACCCUGAAGUGUUUACACUGUUCUGGGUCUGCUUUUUUAGGGGUUUUUGUUUUGCAGAUUCUGUGUUAUGCCUGGUUAGGUCUGAGCUUCAGACCUUCUGAACCGGAGCAGGAAGAAAAAUAAAAGCUUUCCUCCAAACCCCAAGACCAAA